rnacentral:rRNA from 1 species
AGGGCACCACCAGGAGUGGAGCCUGCGGCUUAAUUUGACUCAACACGGGGAAACUCACCCGGCCCGGACACCGGAAGGAUUGACAGAUUGAUAGCUCUUUCUUGAUUCGGUGGAUGGUGGUGCAUGGCCGUUCUUAGUUGGUGGAGCGAUCUGUCUGGUUAAUUCCGAUAACGAACGAGACUCUAGCCUAUUAAAUAGACGUCGGGUUCUCUGCACUCGACGGUCUUCUUAGAGGGACAAGGUGCUUUUAGCACCGCGAAACAGAGCAAUAACAGGUCUGUGAUGCCCUUAGAUGUCCGGGGGCCGCACGCGCGCUACACUGAAAGGAGGCAGCGGUGUAACAACCUUUGUUUCUAACGAACUUGGGUAAACCCGUUGGAAACUUCCCUUUCAUGAUUGGGAAUAAGGGGUUUUGCAAUUGUGCCCCCUUUGAACGAGGAAAAUUCCCCAGUAAAAACCUAAGUCCUUCGCCUAGGGGGCGAAUUUACCUCCCCUGCCCCCUUUUGAAAAAACCCGCCC